rnacentral:antisense_RNA from 2 species
UGUGGGAGCGGGCUUGCUCGCGAAGGCGGCGUGUCAUUCACAUUAAUGCUGGAUGUGCCGAUGCCUUCGCGAGCAAGCCCGCUCCCACC